CUUUUUUUCUUUUUUCAUGGCCAAGCCUUGCCUGAAUUUUUUUCCUGCACCUACCACUGUUUACAACACAGUAGAAAUGAACAUAAGAUACAUAAAGCAGCUCAAAGAACAUCCAAGGAAUUCGGGACCACCACCAAACUGCUCACCUUCAUGGGUCUUUCCCCCCUUUCCUCUUGACCAGCACCUCUCCACAUGCUCCAAGGAGAGCCAUAAACUGCUAGAUGGAAGCAGUCACCAGCAGCGUGACACCCUUUGAAACAAGGUGUUUUGUUUAAAGCCAGAACUACAUGCCAGCCAGCCAGCUGCAGUUUACCUGACAGUCUUGCUUCUUUUUCCACCAAAGCUCUCUCAGCACAGACUACAGAACCAGAGAUCAUUAGAAAAAUCAAGUUACUGCUUUAGAAACUCCAUGACUGGAACAAGGGCCUUUAUAAGAACACAGAAUUAUCAUUAUUACUGAAGUAGCCAAUACAGAAUGUUUAUUGUGCAGAACACCAAUACACAUUCAACGUAUUAUUAAAUUGCAAGUAAAACUAGUUCAGAGCACUGAUCUACUACAAAGAUAAAGACAAGGUUAUAUGCUAUUAUCACUAUUAGAAGAUUUUUUAAAAAUCUAGUUUACCCAUACUUCCCCAAUUAACACAAGUAGUAACUAAGUGACCUUUCCAGAACAUCUGCUUUUUAAAUAGUAGGCUUUGCCAUUACAGGUAUCAUUCUAAGCACAAAAAGUGAAAAGCCUUUAACGCCUCUGCUGAGCAGCCUAAAACACAAGAUGCUUGUGCAGAGUUUAAAGUUGUCAGCAUAACUGGCAUUGCAGCUACACAGAUGAGUCCUGUCGGUCCCAACCUGGCAGAGUGCUACCACUGAAUUAUUUUGGUGACUUAAUUUACAACCCUCUCAGUGCAAAAGAACCUGACAAACAUUUCAUUCUCCUGUUACUUUGGAACUGGAGAAUACAGCUUCCAAGCAGUAUAAAAGUGGUACAUUAUCAUCUUUUCACUUUGCUUACGUCAUGGAAUCACACACAAAGAUUAUUUGUCCAUGCUGCCAGCAGCUAGUGAAAAAAAUAGACCUGAUUUUCCAAUUCAAUCAGGCAACAGAAGGAAGCACUCAGAUUAUUUAAAUGAGGACCUACACUGAGAGAAAAGCUGUAUGUGCUUCCAAAUGUCCCAGAGUAGCUUCAAAUACAGAGCUAGGUGACAAUACUCAUGCAUUCCUACAAAUGACAGGAGUCUCUCAAGACUUUUUGAUCAAAUACUCUAAACCCUACAGAAGACAACAAAAAAAAAAAAAAAAAAAAAG
rnacentral:lncRNA from 1 species